UUAAAGAGCAGAGUUUCAGUUUUGAAAGGUGAAGAGAAUUCUGGAGAUGACUGGUGAUGACAGUUGGACAUCAGUGUGAGUGCCCGGCUAUCAGUGGUGGCAGGGAGACCCAGUGGAGUUCACCCUCCAGUGUUUCUCUGGCACUCCAACGGGCAGCUUUCUACACGCCAUUCUGAGUUCCCCAUACCCCAGUAAGCAACUUCCAGAAGACCAUCCCUGACCUACAGUACCCAAGCAAACAUUGCUGGCACGUCACUGGACAGCUUCCUGUGAAAUCGCUCUGGCCUGCAACAUCCCAGAAACCUUGCCACUCAGUAAGCUCUAAUCACACCCUCUCUAGGACCAAGGGUGUUGCUUCUUCUCUACGCUUCAUAGAACUUUAGUCAGAGCCUUUGCAGUAUCUCCGACUCCCAGAGAAUGGUUUGAUUCUGGAAAAGAUCUGGUAUUUACAGUAGGACAAAAUUCCCUGUUCUUCAAAUAUUUUGCU